rnacentral:tRNA from 1 species
UGCCCCAUGGCUGAGUUGGUUACAGCGUCCGACUGUUAUUUCAACUCUAUCGGAAGGUCGAGAGUUCGAGCCUCUCUGGGGCAG